rnacentral:rRNA from 1 species
UACGUAGGGUGCGAGCGUUGUCCGGAAUUAUUGGGCGUAAAGAGCUCGUAGGCGGUCUGUCGCGUCGGCUGUGAAAUCCCGAGGCUCAACCUCGGGUCUGCAGUCGAUACGGGCAAACUAGAGUAUUGCAGGGGAGACUGGAAUUCCUGGUGUAGCGGUGAAAUGCGCAGAUAUCAGGAGGAACACCGGUGGCGAAGGCGGGUCUCUGGGCAAUAACUGACGCUGAGGAGCGAAAGCGUGGGGAGCGAACGGA